AGGGCACUUGAAGGGUACGAAGAAACACUGACGAAGUCGCCUAACGAUCCUACCGCUCUUGAGGGUGCAGCAGUAUCGUUGGUUGAACUAGGUGAAUAUCAGAAGGCCUCAGAUCUACUUGAGAAGCUAGUUAAGGUAAUCCCCGACAAAGCAGAAGCAUACCGCUUGUUAGGUGAAGUAAAGUUUGAGCUCAAGGAUUAUGAUGGGAGUUCUUCAUCAUACAGGAACUCUCUAUCUUCAUCUGACAGCAUUGAUUUUGACGUUCUCCGUGGGCUGACAAAUUCAUUAGUUGCUGCUAAGAAGCCCGAUCAGGCAGUCGAAGUAAUUCUAUCUUGCCGUCGCAAGUUGAGUGAAAAGCGUCAAACCAGGCAACCUGAUUUGGAGGCUGCAAAUGAGAAUGGUGCUCAGGAGUCUCGAGAUAUUGAUCCUAUCCAAGUUGACCUGCUUCUCGGAAAGGCCUAUUCUGAUUGGGGCCAUAUCAGUGAUGCUGUUACUGUUUAUGAUAACUUAAUCGCUGAACAUCCUGAAGACUUCCGUGGUUAUUUGGCGAAGGGAGCUAUACUGAAGCAAAAUGGUAAGGCAGGUGAUGCAGAAAGAAUGUUUAUUCAGGCCAAAUUCUUCGCCCCAGAGGCAGCAAAGGCACUUGUUGAUAUUUAUGCACAGAGAUAG
rnacentral:rRNA from 1 species